rnacentral:sRNA from 1 species
GCUGGGCAUGGUGGCGCACGCUUGUAAUCCCAGCAGCUCUGGAGGCUGAGGCAGGAGGAUCUCGAGUUCAAAGCCAGCCUCAGCAACAGCAAGGUGCUGAGCAACUCUGUGAGACCCUGUCUCUA